GCUAAACCAUGCACCGAAGCUGCGGCAGCGACACUAUGUGUUGUUGGGUAGGGGAGCGUUCUGUAAGCCUGUGAAGGUGGCCUGUGAGGGUUGCUGGAGGUAUCAGAAGUGCGAAUGCUGACAUAAGUAACGAUAAAGCGGGUGAAAAGCCCGCUCGCCGGAAGACCAAGGGUUCCUGUCCAACGUUAAUCGGGGCAGGGUGAGUCGACCCCUAAGGCGAGGCCGAAAGGCGUAGUCGAUGGGAAACAGGUUAAUAUUCCUGUACUUGGUGUUACUGCGAAGGGGGGACGGAGAAGGCUAUGUUGGCCGGGCGACGGUUGUCCCGGUUUAAGCGUGUAGGCUGGUUUUCCAGGCAAAUCCGGAAAACCAAGGCUGAGGCGUGAUGACGAGGCACUACGGUGCUGAAGUGACAAAUGCCCUGCUUCCAGGAAAAGCCUCUAAGCAUCAGGUAACAUCAAAUCGUACCCCAAACCGACACAGGUGGUCAGGUAGAGAAUACCAAGGCGCUUGAGAGAACUCGGGUGAAGGAACUAGGCAAAAUGGUGCCGUAACUUCGGGAGAAGGCACGCUGAUAUGUAGGUGAAGCGACUUGCUCGUGGAGCUGAAAUCAGUCGAAGAUACCAGCUGGCUGCAACUGUUUAUUAAAAACACAGCACUGUGCAAACACGAAAGUGGACGUAUACGGUGUGACGCCUGCCCGGUGCCGGAAGGUUAAUUGAUGGGGUUAGCGGUAACGCGAAGCUCUUGAUCGAAGCCCCGGUAAACGGCGGCCGUAACUAUAACGGUCCUAAGGUAGCGAAAUUCCUUGUCGGGUAAGUUCCGACCUGCACGAAUGGCGUAAUGAUGGCCAGGCUGUCUCCACCCGAGACUCAGUGAAAUUGAACUCGCUGUGAAGAUGCAGUGUACCCGCGGCAAGACGGAAAGACCCCGUGAACCUUUACUAUAGCUUGACACUGAACAUUGAGCCUUGAUGUGUAGGAUAGGUGGGAGGCUUUGAAGUGUGGACGCCAGUCUGCAUGGAGCCGACCUUGAAAUACCACCCUUUAAUGUUUGAUGUUCUAACGUUGGCCCCUAAUCGGGGUUGCGGACAGUGUCUGGUGGGUAGUUUGACUGGGGCGGUCUCCUCCUAAAGAGUAACGGAGGAGCACGAAGGUUGGCUAAUCCUGGUCGGACAUCAGGAGGUUAGUGCAAUGGCAUAAGCCAGCUUGACUGCGAGCGUGACGGCGCGAGCAGGUGCGAAAGCAGGUCAUAGUGAUCCGGUGGUUCUGAAUGGAAGGGCCAUCGCUCAACGGAUAAAAGGUACUCCGGGGAUAACAGGCUGAUACCGCCCAAGAGUUCAUAUCGACGGCGGUGUUUGGCACCUCGAUGUCGGCUCAUCACAUCCUGGGGCUGAAGUAGGUCCCAAGGGUAUGGCUGUUCGCCAUUUAAAGUGGUACGCGAGCUGGGUUUAGAACGUCGUGAGACAGUUCGGUCCCUAUCUGCCGUGGGCGCUGGAGAACUGAGGGGGGCUGCUCCUAGU
rnacentral:rRNA from 1 species